CCCCCAAUCCGCUCCGCGCAUCCCUCCACCACCGUUUGCGCUUCCCUCGCCGCCGCCGCGUUCCCACUCCCGAGACUUCGGCGCGUGGCGUCCCGCCGCACCGGCCGCUGAUGCUUCUCUCCUCCCGACCCCCGCCUCCUCCGCACCUCCCUCGCGGGGGCGCCGCGCCCGCGCCCGCGCCCUUCGUCCUCGUGCUCCGGCGCCGGCAGCGGAGGCGCCACCACCACCACCGCGCGUACCGCCUCCCUCCCCGCGCCUCCCUCUCGGACCUCCUCGCGAGCCUCCCUUCCUCCCUCGCGUUCGUCGGCCCCGCCGCGCUCGCCGCCGCGGCCGCGGCCGCCUCCUCCUACUGGUUCUCCUCCUCCUCGCCCCGGACCGGCCUGCCGCCGCCGUCACCCGACCCGGAGGGCUACGGCGACGCGUGCGGGGACGUCGCGGGCCAGUGGAUCCUCUUCACCAGCCCGACCCCGUUCAACCGGUGCGUGUUGCUGCGGUGCCCGUCCGUCUCGUUCGAGGACGGCGGCGUGCUGCUCGACGGCAUCAACGAGCGCCUGCUCACCGAGGAGCGCCACUACGUGAACCUCAGCCGGGGCCGCAUCCCCGCGGCGCGCGGCGGGGACGGCGCCUGCGACGUCUCCUACCAGAGGAUUUGCGUCGCGCUCGAGGACGGCGGGGUGAUCGCGCUCGAUGGGCCCGACAAUUUGGACUUGGAAAAGGAGCAUGGGCUGGAUUCCCACGGUACUCGUGGUGCCGGGAACGCCCGAGGGGAGCAUGGAGAGGAGCAUCAAGGCGUUCGUGGUGGAUGCGCUGGAGAAUGGGUAUUUUCCUAUUGUGAUGAACCCCAGAGGGUGCGGCGGCUCCCCACUCACUACACCAAGGUUAUUUACAGCAGCUGACAGUGAUGAUAUCUGCACAGCAGUACGGUUCAUAAACAGCAAGAGAUCUUGGACAACACUAAUGGGUGUUGGAUGGGGAUAUGGUGCAAACAUGCUGACAAAGUACCUCGUGGAAGUUGGAGAGUCUACUCCUCUCACUGCUGCUGUUUGUAUCGACAACCCUUUUGACCUACAUGAAGCAACAAGAUCGUUCCCUCAUCAUAUAGCUCUUGAUCAAAAGCUCACGACUGGCUUGGUCGAUAUUCUGCGCGCUAAUAAGGAACUCUUUCAAGGUAAAGAUAAAGAUUUCAAUGUUCAAAAGGCUUUAUCAGCUAGGAGUUUGCGUGACUUUGAUGGAGCAAUAUCCAUGGUAUCACGUGGAUUUUGCAAUCUUGAUGACUUCUAUUCUGAAAAUAGCACAAGGCUGUCAAUUGCCUAUGUGAAAAUACCGCUACUAUUUAUACAGAGCGAUGAUGGGACUGUGCCACUUCUUUCAGUACCUCGCAGUUCAAUAUCAGAGAACCCUUUUACAAACCUUCUCCUUUGUUCCUGUGUACAUUCCACUAUCUUCACCUUUCAGAGAUACACAGUGUUAUGGUGCCAGAAUAUUGCCUUAGAGUGGCUGUCAGCAGUAGAGUUUGCUCUUCUGACGGGUCGCCAUCCACUUAUCAAAGAUGUAGACAUCACAAUUAACCCAUCCAAAGGUCAAGUAUUUGUUGAACCUCAAGUGAAUGAGAGGAAAGCUCAAAAAGAUAAUAGUUUUCGCCCUCAAUCUGAGAUUACUUUGUAUAAUAAUGUUCCUCAUGGAAUAAAUGGGCUGCUAGUUGAUUCUGCAAGAGUAUUCUAGUGCUCUAAACAAUGAAAAUGGGCAGUUAAAAAAUAAUGGUGACGUAGAAAGGGUAAACAGAGAUCCAGAAGAAGAGUCAGAAGAAAGUUCUGAAGAUGCUGAAAAAGGCCAGGCACUACAAUCAGCAAGUCUCGUGAUGAAUAUGCUAGAUGCUACAAUGCCUGGUACUCUUAAUGAUGAUCAGAAGAAGAAGGUUCUGGUAGCAGUGGAACAAGGCGAAACUCUUGUGAAAGCUCUAGAGGAAACUGUACCUGAAGAUGUGCGUGGAAAGCUUACAACUUCUGUGACUGAAAUUUUAAAUUCCAAACGAGAAAAUUUCAAUUUAGACGCAUUGAAACGACUUGGCUGGAACAGUGUAAGACCAACCACCACCAGGACAGUGACCCAGGAAAAGAUCAAAGAUUCAGACCAUGAUAGUGGGCUUAAGGAUGCCAAAAUAGCUGAUCAGAACAGAAGUUCUGCAACCGCUGGUGACGGGGAUCAGAAAAACAUUAACAUAAUGAAUGAUGACAAUCCUGGACAAAGCAUGGAGUUAUCACAAGGAAAGCCAUCCCAAACUUCUGGAUCUGUUGGAACUGUAACAGAAAUGGGAGGUGAACAAACUCAACCCAAUAAAUCAGAUAAGUCUGACUCAGGAACCAACGAUAGCAAUGAAGAGCAGAAUAGAACAGAGAAGGGAAGCGAAACGACUGCAAAGCAAGCUUAUGAUGAUCAGGGCAGUGAAACAACUCCAAAACAAGCUUCAGAUGAUCCAUCAGUGGCCAACUCAAAUGGGUCUCCUAGAGAAAGAGGGCAGUCAGCAGAUUCUACAGCAGAUCAGAAUCCACAAUCCCAUGCAAUAGAAAAGGAAGGUGACACAAUUCGCACCAGUGAAGAUAAGGCUGCUCAUAAUGUGGAUGAUCAAAGCACGCAAGUCUCUAAAACAGAAGAGUCAAAACCUUCCCCUAUUACUAUGACCCAAGCAUUAGAUGCAUUAACUGGAUUUGAUGACUCAACUCAAAUGGCUGUCAACAGUGUAUUUGGAGUCCUUGAGAAUAUGAUCGAUCAGUUUCAGAAACAACAGGACUCUGAGAAUGAGGAAAAUUCUGAUGAAAAUGGUGAUGGCCCUUCCGUGGAUGGGACAGAAUCUCAUGGGAAGGAGAAUACGGAGAAUGUAUCAAGUGGAGAAGAUAUAAUCCAAUCAUCUCAACAACCAGAAGAUAGCAGUGCUGGAAUAAGUCAUUCAAUCAUGUCCAAAGAUGAUUAUGCUUUUGGUAAGGAAAAUCCCAACUUAAGUAUCAUUUCAUCUGGUAGAGGAAAAUUUAGAUAUUAUCAAGGAAAUGAAGCUGGUGCUCAUGUGCAUGCUGAUCGUAUGAAGGUCAGUGGCUUACCUGAUUAUUUAUUAGAUAUAGCUGUCAGCUCUUAUUUGAAGGCACAGCAUGCAAUGUACCUCCAUGAAUUUCUUAAUACACAACUGCAACUCAAAUCACCAGAGCCUAAUUCAGCAACAGAUCUUUUUCUUGAUCCACAAGAGGGUAAAUGGAAAAUAGCAGAUCACAUGGACAAUGUGCAAAGUGACAUUUCUAAAUCUGGUAGACAUAAGGGAACGACGGAAGAGGUCAAGUAUGCUGGAUGCCCGCAAGAACCAUCUAAAGUGGGCAAUGUUAUUGAGCCACACUACUUUAUACCAGGACAAUUUCCAGACUCUACAUACAAGUCAAAUGGAUGGAAUAAUACAGUAGCAGCCAGAUUGAAACCUGGUAAUGAUUUGAGGGGGGCACUUAGAUACUUCAUUAGAGAUGAACUAUCAGUCGCCCUCAAAAUUGAAGUUGGUCGCAAAAUAGGGAUAACAGAUUCUAGGCAACUUGAAAGAGGUCUUGCAAAUGAUGUAGAACGCGUUGCUGCUGAAGUUUCCAAAAUUAUUGUGCUUAACUGUGAGUUGUAUUCCGCGGCACAUGUGCAAAGAAGCGCAACAACUGUCAAAUUUGGUGCAACACAUGGAAAAUAUGUCAUUGAAGCUGUAGCAGCUGCAGUUCAGCAAUCUCAGAAACUGAAGAACAUUCUUCCUGUGGGUGUCAUAGUUGGUGUAACUUUGGCAUGUUUGCGAAAUUACUUCCAUGUUGAUGUCUCUAAGUAUGAUGACCGUAUGAAAGCCACUGUGAAGUCAGAUAUUUUGAGUGAGGAUCUUAUUGUUCAGGAUAGCACCAGAGCAUUUAUUCAGGAUAGUGGCGAAGCAAAUACAAAUAAUAAUAUUGAAAACGGUCAUGGAGACUACCAGCAGGAAACGACAAGGUCACAGGGUCAAGGUGUGAUGGUAGGGGCUGUGACGGCUGCCCUAGGUGCUUCCGCUUUGGUAGCACAUCAUCAGCAAAAUAAGGAUGAAAAUCAUGACAACAAGGAUGAAAAUCAGCAGGAUUUUGUUCAGGCUGAAAGUGUCAAGCAUGAGGAAACUACACAGGGAAAGAGCCAGAACAAUUUGAUGAGCAGUUUUGCUGAGAAAGCCUUAUCUGUUGCAGCGCCGGUAGUUCCCACAAAGGGUGAUGGUGAGGUUGAUCAUGAAAGGCUUGUUGCAGUUUUAGCUGAACUUGGACAGAAAGGUGGAAUUUUGAGGUUCAUUGGAAAAAUGGCUCUACUCUGGGGCGGAAUCCGUGGUGCUAUGAGCUUAACUAAUAGGCUUAUCUUAUUCCUACGUAUCAGCGAACGACCCUUACUUCAGAGGAUAUUGGGCUUUUCUUCAAUGGUUCUCGUCCUAUGGUCCCCUUUUGUGAUUCCUCUACUGCCAACGCUUGUUCAAAGUUGGACAAUAAGCGCUUCAACUGGGAUUAUUGGAUAUGCUUGCAUUGUUGGAUUGUAUGUCUCUAUAAUGAUACUUGUUAUGCUAUGGGGCAAAAGGAUAAGGGGCUACGAGGAUCCAGUUGAGCAAUAUGGCAUGAAUAUUUGGUCUGCAUCUAGGCUGCGAGACUUUUUUCAAGGUCUAUUGGGAGGUAUAAUUGUUGUAGGCUUGGUACACUCAAUAAGUAUUCUACUUGGUUUUGCAACUUUUCGGACAGGGUUGUCUUCAUCUUUAGCUAGGCCCCUUGAUCUUAUCAAGUUUUCUAGUAAUGUAUUCAUGCUAGCUCUUAGAGGGUUUGCCACAGCAACUAGCAUUGCUGUGGUGGAAGAAAUGGUUUUCAGAUCGUGGCUUCCAGAGGAAAUUGCUGUUGACCUCGGUUACUACAAUGCCAUUCUGAUAUCUGGACUUGUGUUUUCUCUAAUUCAUCGGUCACUACCCUCAGUACCAGGUUUCUUGCUACUUUCUCUGGCGCUUUUUGGACUUAAGCAGAGGACAGAAGGAAAGCUUGCUGCACCUAUUGGCCUGCGUUCUGGAAUUAUGACCACUAAUUAUCUAAUACAAAGCAGUCGUGCUAUAAUAGCCAAACCUGAAACUCCGUUUUGGAUGAUUAGCACCUACCAUCUGCAUCCUUUUGAUGGUGUUAUUGGCUUAAGUAUCUGCUCUUUGCUUGCUAUCCUUUUCUUCCCUCAAAAGCCUGUUCAGAAGGAUACAUCUGUGUGAUAAGAGUCAAAAGAGAAAAGUAUUACUCUUGACAUAUAGCUGUUGGAGCGAGCUUUGAACAAGGAUGAAUCACCACUGCGCACAUGUGAGCAAUGAUGGAUUGCUCUUGUUACCAUGUUAAACUGCAGCUCGAUUGUUUUAAUGCUCCGCAGCUUGCUGGGUGCGAAGAUAAGCUCUCGGUUAGCUCCAUGCUCAUCAGACUGAGAGGCCUGCCGAAUCUGUAAUUGGAGUAUCCAGGACAUUUAUGCUUCGCAAGUGUGUAUACUACUCUUUUGUAGGCGAUCCAAAUGGGGAUGGUUUCUUCCCAGCAUUGUAAGGCGGUGGGGUAGAACAAAAUGACCUAAUUUGUUGCACAUACUUAGGGAGAGAAACUAGCAGAUCAUAACGGUCGUGCCUGACUUCGAUCAAUGAUUUUUCCAUACAAUCAUACCAAUUGACUUCUGGUAUUGGUCUGUUGAUCCCGAACUUGUACUUCUGUUCAUGAAUCUUUGAACAUAAGCACACCCAAGUUUUGAGAUAGCGACUUUUGGGCACCAUAUACUGUGUACAGAAAGUAGCUCCAGUAUGUCUGUGUUAGCUGAUUUAGGCGAUGCAUCUCCCCUCACCUCGGGUUCUGUCAAUGUUACCGUGUAUAGCUGAUUUAGGCGAUGCAUCUCCCCUCACUCCAACUGUAUAAUUGUACAGCUGAUUUUUUUUGAAAUGUCUGUACAGCUGAAUUUAGUGAAGGUUUACAAACAAAGUGGCCUGCCCUAUACCUGCAAUGUUUUUGAGUUUUGACCAAGUUCU